rnacentral:lncRNA from 10 species
AGGAGGGGUGUGGCCUAGACCACUAAGGGCCGUGACGUGGUGCCGCUGAGCUUGGACCCCGACCAGAAGAUAGAGAUUGAAACGAUGAGGAAAACGAAGUGCCUAAUCCCCGCUGGACGCUAACUGCAGGGCAAGCUCCCCAGUGUUGUAGUUGUGUUUCGGAGGCCGAGAACCGCUAUCGGGCUUCCUCGGACUCUGGCCCUGGAGGGGGGAAACGGCGAGGGAGAAGGCGAAACGAGUCUCCAGUGUGUUCUUGGGGCCUGGUGCGAGGCCCAGAGAAUUCUCUGCAGGCCUUUGCCCGGGCACUGAUUAAGGCUGCGAAGAGACGCACCGGGCUGCGGGCUUAGUAGCUUCAGGCUUCUGAAGUCAGAGGGAGGGCUGAGAGCUUACACUUCUGGAGCUCCCCGGGAGACGGCAACUACCCAACCGUGUGGCACCCAGAAAUACUCUCCACACCAUGCUGCACUGCUGCGGAUGAGGGAAGGAUGGUGUCGGGGCUUCAAGACUGUUUUUCCUACCUCUUCAGUGCCUCUUUCAGUGAUAUGAAGUUAAAACCAGGAACAUGGAGGAGACAUAUUUCCACCUAUUUCUCUCCAUAAGUAUAAAAGACCAUAAAAGACCAUCUAGGGACUUCAGAACCCAAAUAAUGACACAAUGUUAAUUUGCAGGUUCUCCCUCUGCCUGCCACCCCACCCAGCAAGGAGGAGAGGAAGUGUUGAGAAGGGAAGAGAUGAGUCCUGGCCCUGUCACUUCUUAGGGGUGUGCUUUUGAACAACCUGCUCACCAUGUAUGAACUUCACUCUUCUUGUUUAUAAAAUGAGGACAAUGACACCUGCAAGACUGUGAGGUUUAAAAACAAAAUCUGUGUUGAGAGAUGAGAAAGGGGAGGCUCAGAGAGGGGAAGUAACUGCUGCAUAGUCACACAGCUGGAGAGUGACAAGGUCCAUGUUCAAACCAAGGGCUGAUGCCAAAGUCCAAGCUUGAACCACACUGCAAUGCUGCCCAUUUGUGAGCCUGAAUUUUUUUUUUAACUUUCAAGGACAGGUUUUCUUUAACUUUCAAGAACAGGCCCCACUGGUUAAUGGCUAACCCCAAUGUCUCUCAUGAUACUCCCUGGAGGUAGGGUUCUGAGGUUCCAAGAGUGCUUCCCACUGGCCUGCCCUGUCCUCAGUAUAAGCCCUAGAUGGGUCUUAAAAUUUAAUCUUUUCUACUGUAUUCCCGACUAGGCUUGUUGGUGCUGGAGUGAAGCAUUCCUGCCAUGGUUUGGUUCUGAAACAGGCUGAGGGAACAGAAAUAUGAGAGAGGCAACUUGACUUAUCCCAUCCACAGUGAGUGCUGGAAUGAAAAGAAGGCCCUGGCCCAAAAUAGAUGCCCAGGCUUUUCAAUGGGACCUAAAAUUUUACUACUUUGAGUUCAGAUGCAUCUUCUUUGAAAAAGAAUUAUCAGUAGAAUGAAUACAGCCACCAUGAGUCUUUCAUACUAUAGGUAAACUAAUUCAUUCAGUUACUUUUCAUUUGUGGAAAAAAUAUACUGAGACUAUUCCACUUGGAAAAUGAGAGUUUUAAAGUAUAUUGUUGCCAUGUAUAAUUGAAAAAGUGGCAUGCACAUGUUGGGAAUGAGUUCAUUGCUUCCAAAGCACACUGUGGAUGUGGAACUCUUCUGGGUGAAGGGGAUUCCAUGGUUUCAGGCUGGGUGUCUUUGCUGGAGGACUUGUCAGAGCUUUAAAAAUGCUAAUUCUCAUUGUGAAUUUCUAGGAAGGGGAUAUAGUUCUCCAAAUUUAUUUGACCAUAAACCUUUUCAUGGAAUCUUAACCCAGGAUCAAAAAUAAAUACUAACCCCUUACCUGCGCAGAAUACUUCACAGUGAGUCCCCAGUGGGCUUCAGACACAACCUCAUUCAAUAGGGUUUUCUUGAGGGACAGAUGAGAGGUCAUUUGAGCCUGUGGCGAGCAAGGGCAAGCCUGGCGAGAGUGAUAGGAGUGGGGAUGGGCUCUUGGGGAAGCUCUAGGAAGGUGGGGACAAAGGGCCCACUUCACUGGUCCCUCUACUUGGUUCCCUGUCUGCCCCAGGAGAGGAGGCCUGCACUUCCUCAGGAGGCUCCCCUUCCUCCCCAGCGCCUCUCACUGACUUGACCAAAAAGGCCAUGCAUGUGAGAGAACUCCGCCUCCUCCGUUCUCCCGGCUAACAUGAGGCUCCAGCCAGGCACUUUUCUGGCUUUCUUGCUGCAGGAACAUGGCUUGGUUGUUUGGGAGCACAGCUUGCCAGGAGGCCCAUAGCAUGAUGGCUUGAUCAAAGGGCUUGAGCCAAGGCUGGCCCUGGGCCACAUGGCUGGAUUGCAGCCUUUCUAUCCAUCCCCCUAAUCCCAUUUAGGAUGUUCAGGAUCAAUGAAAAGAUCUGAUCAUUCAAAUCAUACCAAAGUGUGCUAACACCAUGUGCUACCCCUCUGGGGAUAAACCUGCUUUACAAAGAGAAUGCUUGCCUAAUGGUGGGACAGAAGGAUGAAGGACAUGCCUUUUACCUGUGGGACCCCAUGAAUUUAGGACCCCGUGAAUGAUCCAUCACAAAUCCGUCUGCAUUAACCACUCUGUCCUUCCAGGUGCACUAUUCCAUCUGCGUAUCCAGCAGCAAAAUACAAUUCUGCUCAGAAUAAUGAACCUAAUGUUCUGAAGGCACCAGAAGGUUGUGGAAGUAUUGACCUAUCUCUAGUUAGCAUCUGCUCACCAGGACCCCUGAGACUGUGGAGGGGGUAACUCAGCAGAAGGACCAGGGCUAACAGGGACUGAAUCCUUACCACAUACCAGGGCCCGUUCCAAACACUUUGCAUGUUUUAAAUUGCUUAAUCCUCACAAUGACCCAGUGGAGGAGAUGAUAGUUUUGUCUCUUCUUCAUAUUAUGAUAGAGGAAAAUGAGGACAGAGAGGCCAAAUGACAGGCCCAUGGUCAACCAGCUAAGAAGUGAAGGGGCAGGACUUGAAUUCAGGCCUCCUGGCCCCAGAGUUUGCAGCACCUGGCAUGUGGCAGUAGUUGAGAAGUUACACUGAGUCUGAGUAGACCUGUAGUUAGUGACCCCCUCCACAGCACAGGGCUGAUGGACAGUGGGCUGGCUUGGGCCAAGAGCAGCUGGCACUGCAGAUCUGUUGGAAUAGCUCUGCCCAGGCUGCCCAGGGCAAGUUGCAGACUGGGAGGCAUAUGUAUCCUAAAAUAGAACUUUUGAGAAAUAAUGUGCAUCCAAAGGAAUGAGUCUCAGACGAGGAUGUUCAAGAAUCAGUAGCAGAUGCUGUGCGGGCCACAGAAUGUUUCUAGGUAAAAUGCCCUCCUCCCCACCCCCCAUGUCCCCCACAACCAACAAACAAGCUAAGAAAAAAGAAACAAAAUAAAAUAAAUUGAAACAAAUUAAUAAACAUGCAAAAACCACACAGACAGUCAUCUCUUCUGUCUGUGGGUAAAACUGACAGCUCUAGAAAUAAACGGAGAUCCAUAUAAAGGGUUUCAAAAUAUGGGAGUAAUUUUUGUUUUUCCAUUUAAUGCUAGGUUUCAAAGGAGGGGAAUAUGUCUAUCACUGCUACAUAGGCAUUCUGUUUAAAACCCACCCAGAUGCCUUAAUGGGGCUCUGUCAAGAGUGGGAAGGUCCCCACAGCUGUUUCUCAAAGCCAGUAGACCACUCAGUGUGGGCAGUGGGGAGCUUGUGCUUGGCAGGCCUCCCACGUCGCCAUCAUUUCUUUUUGAACACUUGACGGCACACCUGGUCACCACAGGUCAGCUCCUGCAACGUCAGAAAGUGGGUGAGGGUCUAACAAGCCAGGCCUUUCUUCUGCCCAGCCCUCAGCCCCCUUGGUAUCUGGGGGUGGGAGGUUGGAAUAAAGAGGACACUUAGGUAUUCUGGGCAAAGUGCAUCUCACAGACCCAAUCAGCGGGCAUGCCCUGCAGGUAGCAGUAAUUUGAUUUUGACACUUGAAUUGAGCUUGAACAACUAUAAAAAUGAAAAAUGCAAAGAAAUGACCCUCUUGGGCAGGAUUUCUCCUACUCCCAUGAUUAAAGUAACAUGACCUAAUUUAUAAAAGGCAGCGAAGCCAUGAGGAAGGAAAGGACCUAGUGUAGAGAAGUGUUUGGAAGGUAGGGGCCUGAAAAGAUGCUGGCCAGUGAGCUGCCCCUCCACCCUGUGGGCUUUCUGGCCUCUGGUGAUUAGAACAUUGGCUGGUGGUGGCGCAGGUACCCGCAGGGUGUGAGGUGCAGAAGGGCUUUCCCAGGCUUGCCUGUGCAGCCGACAAGGUCCCGCUUUUCAUCCAGAUAGAGGGAGCCCAGGCCUUAUUUGACCCUCACUGAUCCUCGAAGGAGGAGGGAAAAACAUGAGUGUGGGAAGGACCACCACAAUCAUUGCAGUUGACUGUGAAUCCAUUGUCUAAGCCACAGAGAGCACUGGGGAUUGUAUUACAAUUAGAAAAAUCCACCAUCCAAACCAGUGCAGGUAGGGAAAGCCAUCAAUGCAAAACACGAUAAAUGCCUCCCAUAUAUCAUUAGCUGACAUUGCCUUCAAAAUAAAG